rnacentral:rRNA from 1 species
UGAGGAACAUGACCUUCGGCGGGGGAUAGCCGGCCCAACGGCCGGGUAAUACCGCGUACGACCUUUUGGGGACAUCCCCGAGGGGUGAAAGCAGCAAUGCGCCGAAAGAGUGCCUCGCGGCCUAUCAGCUAGUUGGUGGGGUAAUAGCUCACCAAGGCGAUGACGGGUAGCCGGCCUGAGAGGGUGACCCGGCCACACUGGGACUGAGACACGGCCCAGACCUCCGUACGGGGAGCAG